rnacentral:rRNA from 1 species
UACGUAGGUGGCAAGCGUUGUCCGGAAUUAUUGGGCGUAAAGCCCGCGCAGGCGGUCCUUUAAGUCUGAUGUGAAAGCCCACGGCUCAACCGUGGAGGGUCAUUGGAAACUGGGGGACUUGAGUACAGAAGAGAAGAGUGGAAUUCCACGUGUAGCGGUGAAAUGCGUAGAGAUGUGGAGGAACACCAGUGGCGAAGGCGACUCUUUGGUCUGUAACUGACGCUGAGGCGCGAAAGCGUGGGGAGCAAACAGG